CAAAUUAGAGCUUGUAAAAGUAUUUUAUUUACAUUAAAAAGAAAAUUAAUUAAUAAUUUAAUUUGA
rnacentral:tRNA from 1 species